UACGUAGGGUGCGAGCGUUGUCCGGAAUUACUGGGCGUAAAGAGCUCGUAGGCGGCUUGUCGCGUUGUUCGUGAAAAUUUACCGCUCAACGGUGAACUUGCGGGCGAUACGGGCAGGCUAGAGUACUGCAGGGGAGACUGGAAUUCCUGGUGUAGCGGUGAAAUGCGUAGAUAUCUGGAGGAACACCGGUGGCGAAGGCGGCAUCCUGGACCAAUACUGACACUGAGGAGCGAAAGCCAGGGGAGCAAACGGG
rnacentral:rRNA from 1 species